rnacentral:sRNA from 1 species
UAUUUUUCCUAUGCGGGAAGGAUGAGAAGCUUCGACCAGGGUUCGAUUCGAGCGUUAGCGAGAAAGCGUUGCCGCAGGCAACGACCCGAAGGGCGAAGCGCGCAGCGCUGAGUAAUCCUUCCCCCACCACCA